UCUUCCGGGAGAAUACGCGAAACAACCGAGGUUGCAGGUAGAGUUUACGAGCAAAAGCCGCGCAAAGCUCCUAUGAAAAUUCAAAUGCUACCGUGUAAUAGUUCGGCUGGAUGUUUAUCUGCGACGAGAGGGGACCGAUUCGAUGCAUAGUGGAAGUGCGAACUGUUAAUAUAAACUGCUCUGUUGAAGUCUGGAAUAUCAAUUUUGUUGAACGUUCUACGAAAUCGUCACUUAUUUGUACACCUCUUCUACUUGCGAUUUUCGUGACAUGAUUUCAGAUGUAACUGUCUAUUAUGUUUCUAUU
rnacentral:misc_RNA from 1 species